CACCAGCUCAGAGAGCUACGCGGUCACCUUUACUGUAGUAAACGCUGCACAAUAAUAUCGCUCUUUACAACGUCGGACACAUGGAACAGCCUCUCUUUAAUUACGGCCAGAUGGAGCUCACGGAGUAUUGGAUACAUGGAGGGAGACUCUCAACCGAGGAUUCAUGAAGAACGAUCCUUCACUGAGAAAUCAAAUAGAAAUUACUUAGCAUUUCAGCUAUGGAAGAGAAGUCAAGCUUUAUUCUCAAAUGCAUAGGAAUGGGUUAGCCGAGCCCCGGAGGCAAACCGAAGUGCUCUGAUUGCGAUCUAAUGAAGCCAUCAAUUAAUGUGACAAAGUUUCUGGACACCCUUCACC